rnacentral:rRNA from 1 species
GGAUGGACCCGCGUCUGAUUAGCUAGUUGGUAAGGUAACGGCCCACCAAGGCGACGAUGCAUAGCCGGCCUGAGAGGGCGGACGGCCACAUUGGGACUGAGACACGGCCCAAACUCCUACGGGAGGCAGCAGUAGGGAAUUUUCGUCAAUGGGGGGAACCCUGAACGAGCAAUGCCGCGUGAGUGAAGAAGGUCUUCGGAUCGUAAAGCUCUGUUGUAAGAGAAAAACGACAUUCAUAGGGAAUGAUGAGUGAGUGAUGGUAUCUUACCAGAAAGUCACGGCUAACUACGUGCCAGCAGCCGCGGUAAUACGUAGGUGGUGAGCGUUAUCCGGAAUGAUUGGGCGUAAAGGGUGCGUAGGUGGCAGAACAAGUCUGGAGUAAAAGGUAUGGGCUCAACCCGUACUGGCUCUGGAAACUGUUCAGCUAGAGAACAGAAGAGGACGGCGGAACUCCAUGUGUAGCGGUAAAAUGCGUAGAUAUAUGGAAGAACACCGGUGGCGAAGGCGGCCGUCUGGUCUGUUGCUGACACUGAAGCACGAAAGCGUGGGGAGCAAAUAGGAUUAGAUACCCUAGUAGUCCACGCCGUAAACGAUGAGAACUAGGUGUUGGGGGAAUAACUCAGUGCCGCAGUUAACGCAAUAAGUUCUCCGCCUGGGGAGUAUGCACGCAAGUGUGAAACUCAAAGGAAUUGACGGGGGCCCGCACAAGCGGUGGAGUAUGUGGUUUAAUUCGAAGCAACGCGAAGAACCUUACCAGGCCUUGACAUCCCUUGCAGAGGUAUAGAGAUAUAUCCGAGGUUAUCAAGGAGACAGGUGGUGCAUGGUUGUCGUCAGCUCGUGUCGUGAGAUGUUGGGUUAAGUCCCGCAACGAGCGCAACCCUUGUGAUAUGUUACUAACAUUGAGUUGAGGACUCAUAUCAGACUGCCGGUGAUAAACCGGAGGAAGGUGGGGAUGACGUCAAAUCAUCAUGCCCCUUAUGGCCUGGGCUACACACGUACUACAAUGGCGUCUACAAAGAGCGGCAAGCCUGUGAAGGCAAGCGAAUCUCAUAAAGGACGUCUCAGUUCGGAUUGAAGUCUGCAACCCGACUUCAUGAAGCUGGAAUCGCUAGUAAUCGCGAAUCAGCAUGUCGCGGUGAAUACGUUCUCGGGCCUUGCACUCACCGCCCGUCAA